CAGCCGCCGCGGGAAUACGUAGGUGGCAAGCGUUGUCCGGAAUUAUUGGGCGUAAAGGGCUCGCAGGCGGUUUCUUAAGUCUGAUGUGAAAGCCCCCGGCUCAACCGGGGAGGGUCAUUGGAAACUGGGAAACUUGAGUGCAGAAGAGGAGAGUGGAAUUCCACGUGUAGCGGUGAAAUGCGUAGAGAUGUGGAGGAACACCAGUGGCGAAGGCGACUCUCUGGUCUGUAACUGACGCUGAGGAGCGAAAGCGUGGGGAGCGAACAGGAUUAGAUACCCGCGUAGUCCCUGUCUCCUUAUU
rnacentral:rRNA from 1 species